AAAGUGAAAGUCAAAAAGGAUAGUCAAGUGCUUAGUUUUUAAUUCAAGGUGUUGAGUGCAAUAAUCCUAACAGUCAUGGGGUGAAAUGCAUUGUUCCCUUCUACAUUUGAACACAAUACAUGGUCAGGUCACUCAGUAACCUGCUAAACAUCUGAUUCAGAUUGAUUUGCGUCACCCGCUCUGAGUAAGUAUGGUUGAUGUCAUUCACCAAUCUUUCUUCCAACCAUGUAAAGCAAUCAGAGUUCAAGAUUCUCCAUCUUUUUGGGAAAGAGCCAACGUCCUGGAACAAUCGAAUUAAAAAGUCCGGCGAAUACCGUCAAGAUCUGCAGGUAUAAGACAACGUGGAUUUCGGUUGGUUACAGCUUAAAAGGGUGGCUCCAGUUUCACGCGAUGAUUUAAAUUUAAUUCAGCUGCAAUCUUUCUGGAAUAGUAGAGCACACACCUGGGCCAUUCUCUUUUAAUUCCCUUGAACAGCAUACUGCCAGGCCAUCUCCUCCAUACCUUUUUCCAUCUUUCCCGCCCUUCAUACUUGUUUAUUCUCUCUGAUAUACUUCUAUCAGAAAUAGUAUCCAUAUGGAACCGACAACACAAUCUUUCUUAUUCAGCAAAAAGAAACUGCACAUCUUUCUCUGAUGCCUUCUGGUAUUUGGAAGCAGGCUCUCUCUCUCUCCUGCAAAUCACUGAAUCACUCCCUCUUUCCUAGAACAACUCUGCAUACAUACACACCCGUACGCAGAGAGAGGGAGAGAGAGUGAGAGGUUACAAAAUGAAAAUUAAGCUUGUUGUGUGGUUGUUUUGCAUGGUGUCUGCUCAAACCAUUCUGAUCUUGGCUGCCGAAUGCUUCUCCGAGCCACCCAUCUCAACCCACAAUACACAAGAAGCCACCAUUACUCCACUGGAAAAUGCUGCAGCAAGCUAUGCAAAUUUGAACGAGACUGGUGAAUUUUCAAAAAAUGCUGACGGGAGGCUUAUGAUUUCCGUUACGAGAAAAGGUUCAAAAGGGAAGGGAGCUUAUGGUGGUGCAAAUAUUGUCCAUCGACCACCGCGUCCUACAAAUGCUGCAUCAUCCUCUGGUGCACCUUAUUUCUUAAUACUCUCAGUGAUAUUGGCAACUUUCGGUUUGAUCUGUCCUUGUCACUUCUAAGGGGCUCGCUGUGCUUAUCGUAAAUCUUAAUUUCGGACCAUAUCUGUUCUCAGCCUCUCAUUUGUGCUUGUCAAUAUUGCCUUUUUUGGGAAUUUGACUGUUGUUUUAGUCCAUUGAAGUUAUGGCGGUUGGUUGUGUUACCGUUGUGUUAUGAACAGAACUUUCUGUGAUACAAAUCUAGCAAGUCUUAGCUCUUAACCUUGA